rnacentral:rRNA from 1 species
GAAACUAAGGAACCGAAAGGUUGGUAGAGGAGCAUUGCAUGCGGGAAGAAGCAGUACCGUAAGGAGCUGUGGACUGCAUGGAAGAGAGAAUGCCGGAAUGAGUAGCGAGAAUAAGGUGGGAAUCCUUAUGGCCGAAUAUCCAAGGUUUCCAGAGUAAAGCUGAUCUGCUCUGGGUAAGUCGGGGCCUAAGGCGAGGACGAGAGUCGUAGCCGAUGGACAACAGGUGGAGAUUCCUGUACUGCGGUAUGACAGAACUGUGGGGACACGUAAGGAAAGCGGAAGCCGGGAAUGGAAAGCCCGGUGCAAGCGGGGUACCAGCCACUUUGGCAAAUCCGGGUGGCAAUGGGAAGCCGUGAUGCGGAGCGAAAUAAAGUAGCGAAGUCCGUGAGCCAUGCGUCAAGAAAAGCCGCUAUCGUUUAUACCGUACCCGUACCGUAAACCGACACAGGUGGAUGAGGAGAGAAUCCUAAGGCCGGCGGAAGAAGCAUUGUCAAGGAACUCGGCAAAAUGGCCCCGUAACUUAGGGAUAAGGGGUGCCUGGGAAACCAGGCCGCAGAGAAUAGGCUCAAGCAACUGUUUAGCAAAAACACAGGUCUAUGCGAAACCGAAAGGUGAGGUAUAUGGGCUGACGCCUGCCCGGUGCUGAAGGUUAAGAGGAGAGGCUAGCGCAAGCGAAGCUUUGAAUUUAAGCCCCAGUAAACGGCGGCCGUAACUAUAACGGUCCUAAGGUAGCGAAAUUCCUUGUCGGGUAAGUUCCGACCCGCACGAAAGGCGUAAUGAUUUGAGCGCUGUCUCGACAAUGCAUCCGGUGAAAUUGAAGUACCAGUGAAGAUGCUGGUUACCUGCGCCAGGACGGAAAGACCCCAUGGAGCUUUACUCCAGUCUGGUACUGGGACUCGGUAUUGCAUGUACAGGAUAGGUGGGAGGCUGAGAAAUGGUAACGCCAGUUGCCAUGGAGCCGCUGUUGGGAUACCACCCUUGCAGUAUUGGGUUUCUAACCAGCCGCCGUGACCCGGCGGUGGGACAAUGCCAGACGGGGAGUUUGACUGGGGCGGUCGCCUCCGAAAGGGUAUCGGAGGCGCCCAAAGGUUCCCUCAGAAUGGACGGAAACCAUUCGAAGAGUGCAAAGGCAGAAGGGAGCUUGACUGCGACACCGACGGGUGGAGCAGGUACGAAAGUAGGGCUUAGCGAUCCGGUGGUAUUAAGUGGGAAUGCCAUCGCUCAACGGAUAAAAGCUACCCUGGGAUAACAGGCUUAUCACUCCCAAGAGUUCACAUCGACGGAGUGGUUUGGCACCUCGAUGUCGGCUCAUCGCAUCCUGGGGCUGUAGUAGGUCCCAAGGGUUGGGCUGUUCGCCCAUUAAAGCGGUACGCGAGCUGGGUUCAGAACGUCGUGAGACAGUUCGGUCCCUAUCCGGCGUGGGCGUAGGAUAUCUGAGAGGAGCUGUCCUUAGUACGAGAGGACCGGGAUGGACGGGCCGCUGGUGCAUCGGUUAGACUGCCAAGUCUACGGCCGAGUAGCCAAGCCCGGAAGGGAUAAACGCUGAAGGCAUCUAAGCGUGAAGCCCCCCUUAAGAUGAGAUAUCCCAUUCGAAAGAAGUAAACCCCCUUGAAGACGACGAGGUAGAUAGGGCAGAGGUGGAAGUGCAGCAAUGCAUGGAGCUGACUGUUACUAAUCGGGUGAGGGCUUGACCG